rnacentral:rRNA from 1 species
GACGAACGCUGGCGGCGUGCUUAACACAUGCAAGUCGAACGGAAAGGCCCUGCUUUUGUUGGGUGCUCGAGUGGCGAACGGGUGAGUAACACGUGAGUAACCUGCCCUUGACUUUGGGAUAACUUCAGGAAACUGGGGCUAAUACCGGGUAGGAUCUCCUGCUGCAUGGUGGGGGUUGGAAAGUUUCGGCUGUUGGGGAUGGACUCGCGGCUUAUCAGCUUGUUGGUGGGGUAGUGGCUUACCAAGGCUUUGACGGGUAGCCUGCCUGAGAGGGUGACCGGCGACAUUGGGCCUGAGAUACGGACCAGACUCGUACGGGCGGCAGUAGUGGGGAAUAUUGCAGAAUGGGCGGAAGCCUGAUGCAGAAACGCCGCGUGCGGGAUGACGGCUUUCGGGUUGUAAACCGAUUUCGACUGUGACGAAGCGUGAGUGACGGUAAUGGGUAAAGAAGCACCGGCUAACUACGUG